UACGUAGGGUGCAAGCGUUGUCCGGAAUUAUUGGGCGUAAAGAGCUCGUAGGCGGUUUGUCGCGUCUGCUGUGAAAACUCGGGGCUUAACUCCGGGCCUGCAGUGGGUACGGGCAGACUAGAGUGCGGUAGGGGAGACUGGAAUUCCUGGUGUAGCGGUGAAAUGCGCAGAUAUCAGGAGGAACACCGAUGGCGAAGGCAGGUCACUGGGCCGCAACUGACGCUGAGGAGCGAAAGCAUGGGGAGCGAACAGG
rnacentral:rRNA from 1 species